GAUGAACGCUGGCGGCGUGCCUAAUACAUGCAAGUCGAGCGAAUGGAUUAAGAGCUUGCUCUUAUGAAGUUAGCGGCGGACGGGUGAGUAACACGUGGGUAACCUGCCCAUAAGACUGGGAUAACUCCGGGAAACCGGGGCUAAUACCGGAUAACAUUUUGAACCGCAUGGUUCGAAAUUGAAAGGCGGCUUCGGCUGUCACUUAUGGAUGGACCCGCGUCGCAUUAGCUAGUUGGUGAGGUAACGGCUCACCAAGGCAACGAUGCGUAGCCGACCUGAGAGGGUGAUCGGCCACACUGGGACUGAGACACGGCCCAGACUCCUACGGGAGGCGGCAGUAGGGAAUCUGCCGCAAUGGACGAAAGUCUGACGGAGCAACGCCGCGUGAGUGAUGAAGGCUUUCGGGUCGUAAAACUCUGUUGUUAGGGAAGAACAAGUGCUAGUUGAAUAAGCUGGCACCUUGACGGUACCUAACCAGAAAGCCACGGCUAACUACGUGCCAGCCGCCGCCGUAA
rnacentral:rRNA from 1 species